UACAGAGGUCCCAAGCGUUGUUCGGAUUCACUGGGCGUAAAGGGUGCGUAGGUGGUGAGGAAAGUCGGAUGUGAAAUCUCCAAGCUCAACUUGGAAAUGGCAUUGGAAACUACCUUGCUGGAGGUUUGGAGGGGGGACUGGAAUACUUGGUGUAGCAGUGAAAUGCGUAGAUAUCGGGAGGAAUACCGAUGGCGAAGGCAGGUCUCUGGGCUGACACUGACGCUCAUGCACGAAAGCGUGGGGAGCAAACAGG
rnacentral:rRNA from 1 species